GAAAAAUUGGAAAAGGUGUUUGUGAUAUUUGUUUCUCCCUAGCCAUACACGUACCCAAGCCCCAAAAGUCUUCUUACUUUUCUGAUUUUCUUGGCUGCUUCUGAAGUCCAGCAGCUGCUUUUCUUCUUUCUCUAUUUCCCCUUUCUUUGUUCUUCUUUCUUCUUCCAUCCUUACACGGCAACAUCUCUCCCUCCCUUUCUCACCAAAAAUUCUAGUUUCUUUGAAGAAGAAAUUAGACAAUUAACCCUAAGAUUUUAUCUUCAAAGUGUGUGGGUGGCGAGAACGAGAACACGAAUACUUGAGCUCCUCGCGUACAAUCUCUCGCGCCUUUUGUUUUCAGCUCACCCUAUUAUAUUUCAAUGCACAGGUUCUUCCUGGAAGCAGCGAGAGUAUGAGAGGUGGCAAGGAUUCUGUGUUUUCUCGUUUUAUUAGAAUGUAGAGUUUUGUUGUAUAGUAGUUAGCUCUUUUGAUGUAUAGAAGGAAUCAAGAUGUACUUGAUCCUUUGAGCACAUAUGUAAUUCGGUACUGUAGUCUGUUUUGAACCCCAGUUGUAUGUCUUUGGGGUUAGGUUUGUAAUAAGAGUUUUGCUAAACGUUUAGCUAUGUAAAUUUUUACUUGAAUACCUUAAGUUUCAGACAGGUGGUAUUUGUUUCCAAGUUUGAAGGAAAUGAAAUGUCAGGGUUGCCAUCAUUUUUGUA